rnacentral:rRNA from 1 species
UACGUAGGGUGCGAGCGUUGUCCGGAAUUAUUGGGCGUAAAGGGCUCGUAGGCGGUCUGUCGCGUCGGGAGUGAAAACUCAGGGCUUAACCCUGAGCCUGCUUCCGAUACGGGCAGACUAGAGGUAUGCAGGGGAGAACGGAAUUCCUGGUGUAGCGGUGGAAUGCGCAGAUAUCAGGAAGAACACCCGUGGCGAAGGCGGCUUUCUGGGACGGUACUGACGCUGAGACGCGAAAGCGUGGGGAGCGAACAGG